GACGAACGCUGGCGGCGUGCUUAACACAUGCAAGUCGUACGGAAAGGCCCUUUCGGUGGUACACGAGUGGCGAACGGGUGCGUAACACGUGCGUAACCUUCCCACACCUUUGGGAUAACGCUAGGAAACUGGUGCUAAUACUGGUUAUGUGCCCUUUCUUCAUGGUGGGGGUUGGAUAGCUCCGGCGGGUGUGGAUGGACUCGCGGCCUAUCAGCUUGUUGGUGGGGUUGUGGCGUACCAAGGCGGCGUCGGGUAGCCGGACUGCGGGGGUGACCGGCCACACUGGGACUGAGGUAAGGCCGAGACUCCUACGGGAGGGAGCAGGGGGGAAGAUUGAACGAUGGGCGCAAGGCUGGUGAAGAAACUCCGCGGGCGGGAUGACGGCCUUCGGGUUGAAAAACGAAUUCAGCAGGGACGAAGCUUUUUGUGACGGUACCUGCAGAAGAAGCACCGGCUAACUACGUG
rnacentral:rRNA from 1 species